rnacentral:rRNA from 1 species
AGGGCACCACCAGGAGUGGAGCCUGCGGCUUAAUUUGACUCAACACGGGAAAACUCACCCGGCCCGGACACUGGAAGGAUUGACAGAUUGAGAGCUCUUUCUUGAUUCAGUGGGUGGUGGUGCAUGGCCGUUCUUAGUUGGUGGAGUGAUUUGUCUGGUUAAUUCCGAUAACGAACGAGACUCUAGCCUAUUAAAUAGAUUGCCGGGUCACAAACGCCCGCAAGACUUCUUAGAGGGACAGGCGGCGACUCAACCGCACGAAACAGAGCAAUAACAGGUCUGUGAUGCCCUUAGAUGUCCGGGGCCGCACGCGCGCUACACUGAAGUGAUCAGCGUGCUUUUUCAACCUACUCUGUCAAGAGUGGGGAACCCAAUGAACCUUCUUCGUGAUUGGGAUAGGGGAUUGUAAUUAUUCCCCUUGAACGAGGAAUUCCCAGUAAGCGCGAGUCAUAAGCUCGCGUUGAUUACGUCCCUGCCCUUUGUACACACCGCCCGUCGCUACUACCGAUUGAAUGUUUU